rnacentral:rRNA from 1 species
GACGAACGCUGGCGGCGUGCUUAACACAUGCAAGUCGAACGGAAAGGCCCUGCUUUUGUGGGGUGCUCGAGUGGCGAACGGGUGAGUAACACGUGAGUAACCUGCCCUUGACUUUGGGAUAACUUCAGGAAACUGGGGCUAAUACCGGAUAGGAGCUCCUGCUGCAUGGUGGGGGUUGGAAAGUUUCGGCGGUUGGGGAUGGACGCGCGGCUUAUCAGCUUGUUGGUGGGGUAGUGGCUUACCAAGGCUUUGACGGGUAGCCGGCCUGAGAGGGUGACCGGCCACAUUGGGACUGAGAUACGGCCCAGACUCCUACGGGAGGCAGCAGGGGGGAAUAUUGCACAAUGGGCGGAAGCCUGAUGCAGCAACGCCGCGUGCGGGAUGACGGCCUUCGGGUUGUGAACCGCUUUCGCCUGUGACGAAGCGUGAGUGACGGUAAUGGGUAAAGAAGCACCGGCUAACUACGUG